CAGUCGCCACGGGAAUACGAAGGGGGCUAGCGUUGCUCGGAAUGACUGGGCGUAAAGGGCGCGUAGGCGGCGAUCAAAGUCAGGCGUGAAAUUCCUGGGCUCAACCUGGGGGCUGCGCUUGAUACUUGGUUGCUUGAGUGGGGAAGAGGGUCGUGGAAUUCCCAGUGUAGAGGUGAAAUUCGUAGAUAUUGGGAAGAACACCGGUGGCGAAGGCGGCGACCUGGUCCUUGACUGACGCUGAGGCGCGAAAGCGUGGGGAGCAAACAGGAUUAGAUACCCUGUAGUCCCUGUCUCUUAUACC
rnacentral:rRNA from 1 species